GCAGCCCAGCUCGUUCUCCUUCCUGCUGCACAGGUGGGAGGAGAGGAACAAACAGGUGGGAGCUCCAUUCAAAUGAGGCUGCACCAAGUGAGGUGGUGAUAUUUUGGUGGAGAGUGUGUCUCAGACUUUGAGCUGAGAACAGACUUCAGAACCACGUCAGUCUGAGGCCGAUCUGACGGUUCUGAAAAGGAAACACAGCAACAACAGAGGAAAUCUGUUUUAAGCUGAUGCAGGUGGCGACGCCCACACAGGAUCUACUGCUCCGGACACUGAUGAUUGAAAUGAGUCCAACCUGCAGAGCAGCAGCAUGAGAUCGGUGUGGCCGGCAUCUAAUGUGUUGGCAGGAGUCUGGCCAAUCAGAGAGUCACCUGCUGAUGGAAACCAUCUGAGGAGGAUGAUUGGAGGUCAAAGAUUUGCUGCCGUGGUAACGGUCUCUCAGACGGAGGGAUGGAUGGAGGGAUGGAAGAAAGAGAGAGUGUGACCCAGCCAUAUGGAUGAGGAAGACAUAAAACCGAGCAGGAAGAAGAUGGAUGGAUGGAUGGAUGGAUGGAUGGAUUGCAGCCAGAGGAAGAUGAGUGGAGGCAGAGAUGAUGGAGAGAGGGAUGAAGAGGGACUUCAGGUGGUGUGAUGCACCCUCGGGCGGCCAUGUUGGAGGUGGUUAAUUAGCUCUGUGAACAGCUGACGUUCUCCACACACUGAUCACAUGUUCCACUCACACUGAUGAACAACCUGACACAGCCGCACCAAAACCAGCUGACAGAUACACGUUAAACUUUAACAUGUUUCCAUGACGAUGUCAAUGGCUCUUAUGUGCAUCUUGAUGAAUUAUUCUCUGUAUAUCAACAUUAUGUUUCUCUUUCUUUUACAUUGACCUGCCGACCAUCAGCCCCAGCAGGAAGUAUCUUAAUCGGCUUAAUUGGCUGUGUUUGAUCAGACCUGAUCGACUGAUGAAAUGCUGAUAUUGAACAGGUUGUGAUCAUUGACAACAUGUUAAGAACUUCUUAGUACAGUUAUUUUGGUCAUGCUUUUUUGUUUGGGGCACAUAUUUUCCAAUUACAUUUGCUACAAUAAACAGAACAAACUGGAACAUGAUGUAGUAGGUUGGUGAAUAUAUUUGUAAGUGUAUCUGCUGAGUCUACAACAUUUUACGGUCUGUAGUGAGUUUUAUUUGUUGAUCAUUAUCAGUCUGAAACACAAACAAUUAAAACAAAGUCAACAUGAAAUUUCAACAAACAUGCAUUUUUCUUUGGAGCAGAACCAAACCUUUCUUCAUCUCACUCAUUACUCACCAUCACCACGUCAGUGUGAAACAGAGUGACGAGCCAAUCAUUGGGAACACUGACAACAGCAGGUGUGGUAAUUAAGGUUUGUCACCAGAAAACUGACAUAUUAAAUUACUAAGACGGUGCUAAGUGUGUUGACAAAUGGAAAUGAUGCUACUGUAUAAUCUGCUUCAUCAUCAUGUCUUUAUCAACU